rnacentral:rRNA from 1 species
AAAUUGAAGAGUUUGAUCAUGGCUCAGAUUGAACGCUGGCGGCAGGCCUAACACAUGCAAGUCGAGCGGUAACACAGAGAGCUUGCUCUCGGGUGACGAGCGGCGGACGGGUGAGUAAUGUCUGGGAAACUGCCUGAUGGAGGGGGAUAACUACUGGAAACGGUAGCUAAUACCGCAUAACGUCGCAAGACCAAAGUGGGGGACCUUCGGGCCUCAUGCCAUCAGAUGUGCCCAGAUGGGAUUAGCUAGUAGGUGGGGUAAUGGCUCACCUAGGCGACGAUCCCUAGCUGGUCUGAGAGGAUGACCAGCCACACUGGAACUGAGACACGGUCCAGACUCCUACGGGAGGCAGCAGUGGGGAAUAUUGCACAAUGGGCGCAAGCCUGAUGCAGCCAUGCCGCGUGUAUGAAGAAGGCCUUCGGGUUGUAAAGUACUUUCAGCGAGGAGGAAGGCGUUAAGGUUAAUAACCUUGGCGAUUGACGUUACUCGCAGAAGAAGCACCGGCUAACUCCGUGCCAGCAGCCGCGGUAAUACGGAGGGUGCAAGCGUUAAUCGGAAUUACUGGGCGUAAAGCGCACGCAGGCGGUCUGUCAAGUCGGAUGUGAAAUCCCCGGGCUCAACCUGGGAACUGCAUUCGAAACUGGCAGGCUAGAGUCUUGUAGAGGGGGGUAGAAUUCCAGGUGUAGCGGUGAAAUGCGUAGAGAUCUGGAGGAAUACCGGUGGCGAAGGCGGCCCCCUGGACAAAGACUGACGCUCAGGUGCGAAAGCGUGGGGAGCAAACAGGAUUAGAUACCCUGGUAGUCCACGCCGUAAACGAUGUCGACUUGGAGGUUGUGCCCUUGAGGCGUGGCUUCCGGAGCUAACGCGUUAAGUCGACCGCCUGGGGAGUACGGCCGCAAGGUUAAAACUCAAAUGAAUUGACGGGGGCCCGCACAAGCGGUGGAGCAUGUGGUUUAAUUCGAUGCAACGCGAAGAACCUUACCUGGUCUUGACAUCCACAGAACUUUCCAGAGAUGGAUUGGUGCCUUCGGGAACUGUGAGACAGGUGCUGCAUGGCUGUCGUCAGCUCGUGUUGUGAAAUGUUGGGUUAAGUCCCGCAACGAGCGCAACCCUUAUCCUUUGUUGCCAGCGGUCCGGCCGGGAACUCAAAGGAGACUGCCAGUGAUAAACUGGAGGAAGGUGGGGAUGACGUCAAGUCAUCAUGGCCCUUACGACCAGGGCUACACACGUGCUACAAUGGCAUAUACAAAGAGAAGCGACCUCGCGAGAGCAAGCGGACCUCAUAAAGUAUGUCGUAGUCCGGAUUGGAGUCUGCAACUCGACUCCAUGAAGUCGGAAUCGCUAGUAAUCGUAGAUCAGAAUGCUACGGUGAAUACGUUCCCGGGCCUUGUACACACCGCCCGUCACACCAUGGGAGUGGGUUGCAAAAGAAGUAGGUAGCUUAACCUUCGGGAGGGCGCUUACCACUUUGUGAUUCAUGACUGGGGUGAAGUCGUAACAAGGUAACCGUAGGGGAACCUGCGGUUGGAUCACCUCCUUA